CGGGAAGAGAGCGCGUGUGUCUUCCCGUUGGGAAGAGUAUCGAUGGGAGACCAAUGGGCACCCACGAAGUUCCUUCGUGUAUCCUCGUGUAGCCCGACGGACCGCAUUCUUCCCCGUGACUUUAGGCAUUGUUCCUGCUAAAGUUCUCCUCUUCUUCUUCUUCUUCUUCUCUCUCUGCGUUGUCUCUCUUCACCCUGUUCGUUGUAUCCGUCGCGUCCGACUCUCUCGUUUUAAGACCCACCUCACCCCACGCUCGAGGCUUGCCUCGCCAUCCGGCUGGCUAACCGAGCGGAGGACCGCUUAUAACAAGCCGGACAGAGCGGAGUUUUUGCCCCGACGCCUCCCUUUUUUUCUCUGGUUCUUUUUAUCUUUAUUUCUUUCUUUUAUUUACUCUUUCGGUUUGCCACUUAUGCUUCAACAGAUCCCGUAGAAAUGUAUUAGAAAUAUCGUAUAACAGCACUCGUUUUUCGAACCUAGUCGUUUCUCGUAUUGUCACCAUCAAGCGAAUGUGGCAGGUGAUACUUUGCUCGGAAUCAAUUGGCCGCUCAAGGCCAUCAAACGGUUAUCCCCA
rnacentral:misc_RNA from 1 species